AACUGGUCUGAAGGUGGUGAGUUAUUUCAAUUGAUUGCUCACAGUCAGUUGCAGAUCAGAGUUUUUGUUCUUCUACUCUUUUACCUCUUCUCAUUACUGCACUUUACUAGUCUUAC
rnacentral:Y_RNA from 1 species